UACGGGGGGGGGCAAGCGUUGUUCGGAAUUACUGGGCGUAAAGGGCUCGUAGGUGGCCAACUAAGUCAGACGUGAAAUCCCUCGGCUUAACCGGGGAACUGCGUCUGAUACUGGAUGGCUUGAGUUUGGGAGAGGGAUGCGGAAUUCCAGGUGUAGCGGUGAAAUGCGUAGAUAUCUGGAGGAACACCGGUGGCGAAGGCGGGUCUCUGGGCAACAACUGACGCUGAGGAGCGAAAGCGUGGGGAGCGAACAGG
rnacentral:rRNA from 1 species